AGGCGCGUAGCUCAGGGGUAGAGCAUUGCUUUGACGUAGCAAGGGCCAGCGGUUCGAUUCCGCUCGCGCCUACCA
rnacentral:tRNA from 1 species